UGAUCCUGGCUCAGAACGUACGCUGGCGGCACGCCUAACACAUGCAAGUCGAACGAAGUAGCAAUACUUAGUGGCAGACGGGUGAGUAACAUGUAGGUAUCUGCUCUUUGGCCUGGAAUAACACGAGGAAACUUGUGCUAAUACCGGAUAAGUCUUUACGGAGAAAGCUUUAUGCACCAUUGGAUGAGCCUGCACUUGAUUAGUUUGUUGGUGGGGUAAUGGCCUACCAAGACUGUGAUCAAUAGCUGAUUUGAGAGGAUGAUCAGCCACAUUGGGACUGAGACACGGCCCAAACUCCUACGGGAGGCAGCAGUGGGGAAUCUUGCACAAUGGAGGAAACUCUGAUGCAGCGAUGCCGCGUGAGUGAAGAAGGCCCUUGGGUUGUAAAGCUCUUUCGUCGGGGAAGAAAAUGACUGUACCCGAAUAAGAAGGUCCGGCUAACUUCGUGCCAGCAGCCGCGGUAAUACGAAGGGACCUAGCGUAGUUCGGAAUUACUGGGCUUAAAGAGUUCGUAGGUGGUUGAAAAAGUUAGUGGUGAAAUCCCAGAGCUUAACUCUGGAACUGCCAUUAAAACUUUUCAGCUAGAGUAUGAUAGAGGAAAGCAGAAUUUCUAGUGUAGAGGUGAAAUUCGUAGAUAUUAGAAAGAAUACCAAUUGCGAAGGCAGCUUUCUGGAUCAUUACUGACACUGAGGAACGAAAGCAUGGGUAGCGAAGAGGAUUAGAUACCCUCGUAGU
rnacentral:rRNA from 1 species